rnacentral:snRNA from 1 species
GCUCACUUCAGCAGCACAUAUACUGAAGCGAUACAGAGAAUAUUAGUGUGGCCCUUGCGCAAGGAUGACUUGCAAAUUCGUGAAGCGUUCCAUAUUUUU